AUUGAACGCUGGCGGCAGGCCUAACACAUGCAAGUCGAGCGAGCGGCGGACGGGUGAGUAAUGUAUGGGGACUGCCCGAUAGAGGGGGAUCACUACUGGAAACGGUGGCUAAUACCGCAUACUGUCGGAUAACCCAUAUGGGAUUAGCUAGUAGGUAAGGUAAUGGCUUACCUAGGCGACGAUCCCUAGCUGGUCUGAGAGGAUGAUCAGCCACACUGGGACGGAGACACGGCCCAGACUCCUACGGAGGCAGCAGGGGGGAAUAUUGCACAAUGGGCGCAAGCCUGAGGCAGCGACGCCGCGAGGGGGUUGGAGGCUUGCGGGUUGUAAACCUCUUUCGCACUCGAACGGGUAGGUGGAGAAGAAGCGCCGGCUAACUACGUGCCAGCCGCCGCGGUAAUAC
rnacentral:rRNA from 1 species